UUACCUUUGCGAUGCAUUGGUUUGCCGUUCUUGUUCAAAAUCGGCAAUUAAAAGGGAAUCAGGUGUAAAUCCUGAACAGUCCCGCUGCUGUAAGUUUCAUUCAUCGUUGCAGGCAUUAUCUCAAUGCCACUGGAUAAUUUCUUCCGGGAAGGCGUCUGCAACGGAAACGAGUCAGAAGACCUGCCAUGCACACACUAUCAUU
rnacentral:ncRNA from 2 species